CAACAUGUGGGAAUUCUAGGAGAUACAAUUCAAGUUGAGAUCUGAAUGUGGACACAGCCAAACCAUAUCAGGCUACUUGGGGGUUUAAGAAUUCAUAUAACUUGCUCAGCCAGAGAAAGCAUAACUGAUAAUUCAGAUAUUCCAGCAGUCACAAACUUUUCCUACCCCAGGUAGAUGCACAUGUCUUUUAUUAGAGGGGGUGGGAGGAGAAGAACAGAGCUGUGCUUAGGUGUGAAAAGAACUAAAAACAAAACUAAGAAACAACCUAACAAACAAAAAACACCCAGGCCAAGGCUCGUGGCAUCCCCACUUCUUUAAUGCUGAACAAUAUUCUUCAUAUAGUUGUAAUAUGAUCUCAAGAGUAACUGAGACUUCAUGGUGUAAAAAUAUUACUUUUAAGGAUGGCUAGUUUUUUGUUUUACACAGUACUUUGGGGGGAUUAGGGUUUUAAGUUUAUAGUGUCAUCAGAUUUUAUUUCACAUUAUGAUGAAAAUCAAAGCCAUGGAUAAUGUUUCAUUUUGCAGGGGUUAUUGUUUUACUGUAACCUAAAGUCCAUGUAGCAGUGGUUCUCAUACUAGAGCAUGCAACAGAACCCCCAGGAGGGCAUGGUGAAACACACUGAAUCUCGGACGCACUCUCUGAGCAUACUCUUUCUGGGCGUUUCGGAUCCUGGCAUCAGGGUCCUGAAUUUAUUUCAGUUGGGUAUGUGGACUCACAGCCUAUCACCAAAUAUGACUGUCACUCGGCAGAAGGAGCCGCGGGCCCCAUGGAUUGCAGAGGAACCUCGCGCCUGCAUCACUGGGAGAGGUACACUCAGGCCUGUGAGGGGCUGGUCCCAGCGCGCGCAGACGUUCAGACGGUGGAACUGAGCGCCUGCAGACGGCCACUACAAAUCACACUCAGGGUCUCACACUUACCAGAGAAUGAUUGGCUGUGAGCUGCUGGAGGAUGGAAGCACCACAGGAUUUCUGCAGUAUGCAUAUGACGGGCAGAUUUCCUGAUCUUCAAUAAAGACAGCCUCUCCUGGCUGGCUGUAGAUAAUGUGGCUCACACCGUCAAGCGGGCAUGGGAGGCCAAUCAGCAUGAGUUGCAAAAUCAAAAGAAUUAGCUGGAAAAAGAAUGUAUUGCCUGGCUAAAGAGAUUCCACACCUAUGGGGAAGACACCCUACAAAGAACAGGUAAAGAGAGGAGGCCUUGUUCCUGCAUUGCCUGAACAACUGUUUCUGUACAUAACUCCUCUGAUCUAGGUUACAUCCACCCUAUCCUGAAGCCAUCUCUUUAGUUAGCUUGUUGUGAUCUCAUGGCUAGAGCCCCCCACGAACUUUCUCUGGUUACUUUUGGGUAGCAUCUUGACAAGAUUUGACAGUUCCCCUUUUCUUGACAGAGUACCUCCAAGGGCACCUUGUUUUUGGGGAUCCAUUGAGGCAAAUUCUUGCGUCAAUGACAAGCUGGGAAAUUCUUUGGGAGGUGGAGCAAUUCUUACAAAUUGUUUAGUUAACAAAGAGCUCACACACCACCAGUAGGACUGAAAAUCUGGAUUUACCAGGACAAACAGAGGGUCUCUGCUUUACUAACGGCUUGAUGACAAGAUUCCUUCCAGCAAAGAGCUCUUCUUAUACCUUAAAGAUACGAUUCAAUUGGUCAACUUUUAGUUAAUACAGAACUUUUCGUGUAUGAUCUUAUUAUUCAAAAUGAAUUACCUCUGCAUCAUGCUACAGGAAAUACCUAGACACAGGUGCCUUUCCUCACAGGAGUAGGAGGGGUUUUCUCAGUUGUGGCCAAUAGCAGGGGAGGUAUCUGGCCACAGUUAUGAAUAUGGAGCAUCUGCUAAAAGUACAGGCUUUGGAGGCAGAUGACUAGAGUCUGAGCUUUGACUCUCCCAUUCCCUAGCUGAAAAACUAUCUCUUAAUGGUUGUAGGUAACAGAAACCUAUGUAAACCGGCUCAAGCACAAAGUGGGAUGCUAUUUUAAAGGUGGGAAUCAGGGCAGUGUGGGGACCUGAGAGAUCAAAACCAAGAUGUGAAUGAUUUUAUCCAUGAGGUAGGGACAUGGCUGCCAGCACAAAGCUCGUAUCCUCCACACAUCAUCACUCUAUAAGAAUGGGCGUCUCUCUCCUUGCUCUGGUUACUAAAAGGAAAAGGAAGUCACAGGAGGACUCUGACGUACGUUAGAUCAUGUGGCACCUCUGGGCCUAAUCACCAAGACCAUCAGGAUAAGCCUCUAAGCCAAGCCAUAGCUAACAGCCCUGGCAAGAACUAAAUGGUACACUCAAUAUGGUUUAAAUGAAUUCAACAAAGACAGCAUCUGUAGGGGGAUAAUCAGGACUGAGGAAACCAGUAUGGGAUGGUGAAGUGUCCAGAGACGUGUCACAGAGGGAAGCAUUACCUCCACCAGAGGUGAAGGGUAAAAGAGAAUACUGUUAUCAUAGUUCAGCAAGAGCUGCUCCCCAGGCAGAGGAUGCUCCUUGUGAGAGCUGUGACCGUGGCCCCUGGUGGGACUGUAGUGGGGUGGGUUGGGGAAUGAAGCCCCAAACUCUCUCUCCUCCAGCUCUCUGGUCUUUUUUGAGGAUGCUCAUUGCAAUGGCCGAACCCAACCAGAGGCCGGGGGCUCUGGAAGUGCAGUCUGAUGUGUACAGCCUCCUGGGGCACGGAAGGGCAGAGAUGAGAUUAGCUGGGGACUCACAGGGAGAGUCCAACCAGCACACACACUGUUUUAGGCUAGGGCUGGGCAGGAGGAUUAAGAUUGGUGCCGCUCAACACAAGCACAUGUUGGAAUGGGGUAGGGUCAUUUUCCAAAAUACGCUGUGUUUGGCAGAAGGGGUUCCUGCAGUUAGAAAAAGUGAGGCUAACAGAUGGUAGGCCAAAAAAGCAAUAAACUUGAGUGAAAUCAACAGGUAUGAUAAAGCCUACCCUACAGAAAUGGAUAAGAAAAAUGUGCAUAAAACCACUGUGUAAACUGUAGGGCUCUGUUCCCUUUUCAUGAGGCCAUCAGUCAUACUGGAUUAGGGGCCCACCCUACUACUGCAGGAUGACCUCACCUUCCCAAAUUACAUCAACCCUAUUUCCAGAGAAGGCCACAUUCUGAGGUCCUGGGGGUUACAACUUCAUGAAUUUUUGCGGGGGGAAACAAUUCAACUCCUAAUACAUCUCUACCCAACCUCUGUAGGUUCCCUCAAUCCACCAAAACUUUCUGGCUCCACUGGAUUAUCUAGCAGUUAGGAAACCAAGAUCAUUAAACGAAUUCACCGCAGCUACAGUGAGACUGACUACCUUAGCUUACCUCUGUGAGAGGAGUUAAGCCAAGGGAAUCUGUGGAAUUUUCGAGGAUUUGGGGGCAUUUGGGGGCAGGCGGCAAAUGUCCUUCCUUUAAAUCCCAACACUUAGUUCUCUUCCAUUUAUAAGACUCGCUCCUCCAUCCCAACCCCUGCACCACAGGACAAGGAAGUGUUCUUGGCCUUCAACUUUCAUCCCUGAUGGUGAAAGCAGUUGCUCCUGAUCUAUUUGCCCACCAGCUUCUCCUCUGGAGCCUGAGGCAUCUGAUGCCUGCCCGGCUGGUUCUCAGUAAGAAGGUCAAGUUCAACCAGAGGGCAAAUGCUGAUGCCUUUCAGUAGUUAAAUAUGAGUUCAGACCCCGGGGUCUGGACAGAAGAUUUGGAGUCCCACCAGCUGGGCAUAAGUGGCUCAUACCUGUAAUCCCAGCACUUGGGGAGGCUGAGGCAGGUGGAUCACUUGAGGUCAGGAGUUCGAGACCA